rnacentral:misc_RNA from 1 species
AAUUAUCAACCUUGCUCGCUUUUACUAGCUUGAGUUAGGCUUGGAUGUGAGGGUUUUUGCAGGCUUUUGUGGUCUGCUCCCUUUAAAUGCAUUAGUGGGAUCUAUUGUGGACCGUCACUUGGUGUGAUAAUUAUCUAUGCCUUGAGACUUUGAAACAAACUUAUUGGAACCUGCUCAUAACCGUCCUUCACGGGACAACUUUUGACA